UGAGGUGACUUUGGCGGCGGGGUCCACCUCUUCCCAUUCCGAACAGAGAAGUUAAGCCCGCCAGCGCCGAUGGUACUAGAGUAAAAUCCGGGAGAGUAGGUCGUUGCCUUUU
rnacentral:rRNA from 1 species